CGGCGGACGGGUGAGUAACACGUGGAUAACCUACCUAUAAGACUGGGAUAACUUCGGGAAACCGGGGCUAAUACCGGAUAACACAUGAAACCGCAUGGUUUCAUGAUGAAAGACGGUUUUGCUGUCACUUAUAGAUGGAUCCGCGCCGCAUUAGCUAGUUGGUAAGGUAACGGCUUACAAAGGCAACGAUGCGUAGCCGACCUGAGAGGGUGAUCGGCCACACUGGAACUGAGACACGGUCCAG
rnacentral:rRNA from 1 species